rnacentral:ncRNA from 1 species
ACAAAGGUUUGGUCCUGACCUUAUAAUCAAUUCUUACUCAACUUACACAUGCAAGUCUCCGCACCCCUGUGAAAACGCCCUUAAAUCCCUCUAGGGAUCAGGAGCUGGUAUCAGGCUCGAUUUUUCAGCCCAUAACACCUAGCUAUGCCACACCCACAAGGGUAUACAGCAGUGAUCAACAUUGUACAUAAGCGAAAGCUUGAUUCAGUCAGAGUAAACAGAGCCGGCAAAUCUGGUGCCAGCCGCCGCGGCCACACCACAGACUCAAAUUGACUAUACCCGGCGUAAAGCGUGAUUAAAGCUACCUAAAGCUGCAGUUAAACUGGAUCUUAGAUGUAAAAUCCUUGAGCCCAGGAAAUCCAGAAACGAAAGUUACUGCAAAACAAACCACUUGACUUCACGACAGUUGGGGCACAAACUGGGAUUAGAUACCCCACUAUGCCCAACCGUAAACCUUAACUUACACCCAAAUCGCCAGGGAACUACGAGCAAUGCUUAAAACCCAAAGGACUUGACGGUGCCCCAUUCCACCUAGAGGAGCCUGUCCUAUAAUCGAUAACCCCCGUUAAACCUCACCACUCUUUGCCCCUACAGUCUGUAUACCUCCGUCGUCAGUUUACCACGUGAGCGAUCCUAGUAAGCAAGAAGGCCAACCGCCAAAACGUCAGGUCAAGGUGCAACUCAUGGAGUGGGAAGAGAUGGGCUACACUUUCUAACAUAGAACAUACGAAAGACUUUAUGAAACUUCAGUCAGAAGGCGGAUUUAGUAGUAAAAUAAGACAAGAGCGCUUAUUUAAACACGGCCCUGGGGUGUGUACACACCGCCCGUCACCCUCUUCGAAACUAAAAAAUAGUAUAUAACACCUACACUCAUUAAAAGAAGAGGCAAGUCGUAACAUGGUAAGCUUACCGGAAGGUGUGCUUGGAAAC